rnacentral:rRNA from 1 species
UCUGGUGGCGAUAGCAUGAUGGAAACACCUGUACCCAUGCCGAACACAGAAGUUAAGCAUCAUAACGGCGAAGAUAGUGAGCGAUUGCGACAAUAGCAAGCUGCCAGUUCUCCUGAGGGAUAUCAUCCGAUAUCUCUCUUUUUUUGU